rnacentral:rRNA from 1 species
CAAGGAUUCCCCUAGUAACUGCGAGUGAAGCGGGAUGAGCUCAAAUUUGAAAUCUGGCGGUCUUGUUACCGUCCGAGUUGUAAUCUGGAGAGGCGUUUUCCGCGUUGGACCGUGUACAAGUCUCCUGGAACGGAGCGUCAUAGAGGGUGAGAAUCCCGUCCAUGACACGGACCACCAAUGCUAUGUGAUACGCCCUCGAAGAGUCGAGUUGUUUGGGAAUGCAGCUCAAAAUGGGUGGUAAAUUCCAUCUAAAGCUAAAUAUUGGCGAGAGACCGAUAGCGAACAAGUACCGUGAGGGAAAGAUGAAAAGCACUUUGAAAAGAGAGUUAAACAGUACGUGAAAUUGUUGAAAGGGAAACGCUUGAAGUCAGUCGCGUUGCACGGAACUCAGCCUUGCUUCGGCUUGGUGUACUUUCUGUGUGACGGGUCAACGUCAAUUUUGACCGGCGGAGAAAGGCGAGGGGAAUGUAGCGUUGUUUCGGCGACGUGUUAUAGCCCUUUGUUGUAUGCGUCGGUUGGGAUUGAGGACCGCAGCACGCCUGUAAAUUGGCCGGGGGUUCGCCCUACGUUACGUGCUUAGGAUGUUGGCAUAAUGGCUUUAAG